rnacentral:rRNA from 1 species
UACGGGGGGGGCAAGCGUUGUUCGGAAUUACUGGGCGUAAAGGGUGCGUAGGCGGCCAUGUAAGUGGGGUGUGAAAUCCCUCGGCUCAACCGAGGAACUGCGCUCCAUACUGCAUGGCUUGAGGGAGACAGGGGUAAGCGGAACUGAUGGUGGAGCGGUGAAAUGCGUUGAUAUCAUCAGGAACACCGGUGGCGAAAGCGGCUUACUGGGUCUCUUCUGACGCUGAGGUACGAAAGCUAGGGGAGCGAACGGG